AGAAUGAACGCUGGCGGCGUGCUUAACACAUGCAAGUCGAGCGAGGCCUGGGGGCAACUCCCAGAGUCUAGCGGCGGACGGGUGAGUAACACGUGGGUAACCUGCCCGGAAGUGGGGAAUACCUCGGGGAAACUCGAGCUAAUACCGCAUGACAUCUUGGGACGAAAGUCCUGACGAUCAAAGCGGGGUCGCAAGAUCUCGCGCUACCGGAUGGGCCCGCGCCCGAUUAGCUAGUUGGUGAGGUAACGGCUCACCAAGGCUUCGAUCGGUAACC
rnacentral:rRNA from 1 species